CGGUAUCUUUUGACGUUAGCUGCAGAAGAAGCACCGGCUAAUUCCGUGCCAGCAGCCGCGGUAAUACGGAGGGUGCGAGCGUUAAUCGGAAUUACUGGGCGUAAAGCGCAUGCAGGUGGUUUGUUAAGUCAGAUGUGAAAGCCCGGGGCUCAACCUUGGAAUUGCAUUUGAAACUGGCAGGCUAGAGUACUGUAGAGGGGGGUAGAAUUUCAGGUGUAGCGGUGAAAUGCGUAGAGAUCUGAAGGAAUACCGGUGGCGAAGGCGGCCCCCUGGACAGAUACUGACACUCAGAUGCGAAAGCGUGGGGAGCAAACAGGAUUAGAUACCCUGGUAGUCCACGCCGUAAACGAUGUCUACUUGGAGGUUGUGGCCUUGAGCCGUGGCUUUCGGAGCUAACGCGUUAAGUAGACCGCCUGGGGAGUACGGUCGCAAGAUUAAAACUCAAAUGAAUUGACGGGGGCCCGCACCAGCGGUGGAGCAUGUGGUUUAAUUCGAUGCAACGCGAAGAACCUUACCUACUCUUGACAUCCAGAGAACUUAGCAGAGAUGCUUUGGUGCCUUCGGGAACUCUGAGACAGGUGCUGCAUGGCCGUCGUCAGCUCGUGUUGUGAAAUGUUGGGUUAAGUCCCGCAACGAGCGCAACCCUUAUCCUUGUUUGCCAGCGAGUAAUGUCGGGAACUCCAGGGAGACUGCCGGUGAUAAACCGGAGGAAGGUGGGGACGACGUCAAGUCAUCAUGGCCCUUACGAGUAGGGCUACACACGUGCUACAAUGGCGCAUACAGAGGGCGGCCAACUUGCGAAAGCGAGCGAAUCCCAAAAAGUGCGUCGUAGUCCGGAUUGGAGUCUGCAACUCGACUCCAUGAAGUCGGAAUCGCUAGUAAUCGUGAAUCAGAAUGUCACGGUGAAUACGUUCCCGGGCCUUGUACACACCGCCCGUCACACCAUGGGAGUGGGCUGCAAAAGAAGCAGGUAGUUUAACCUUCGGGAGG
rnacentral:rRNA from 1 species